rnacentral:lncRNA from 1 species
UGGCAGCAUCAGGUGCUGAUGUGCUGCCAUUUCAUGUGCGUUUGUUACCGGGUGGUUGCUGAGUGCACAGAAGGUUUAAGACGAGGCACCAACACGAUGCCAAGGAGCAGCAGGUCGCCCUGAGGCCAUCGGGGACUGAUUCCAUCCAUGGGGAUGAGGCCAUGCAGUGUGAGAAAGUGCUGUUGUGUAAUGAUGAAGAAUGGAAGCUCCUGCUGGAAGCCGAGCAAGAUUGCACUUGCGCUGCUUAUCUGGCUGCUUGAUCCAUGAGAACGUGUCUCGGAGCAUCUGGAAACGUGUGGAUAGCUUCCAUCCCCUCCCAGAGACUUGCGGGUCCUGGCUGCGCGCAGGAGGAGGACGGGAGAUUUGGAGCCGUGGCCGCUCUGCAUGGCAACAUGCCUGUGAGGUUUGCUGUGCUUGGAUAGAGCAGAACUGUGCAAAAACAGAACAAGAUGGGAUUUUUCCAGGUUUAAUUUGAGCUUUAACUUGUUCCAAGUGUAACAUUGAGAUCUUA